AGAGUUUGAUCCUGGCUCAGGAUGAACGCUGGCGGCGUGCCUAAUACAUGCAAGUCGAGCGAACGGACGAGAAGCUUGCUUCUCUGAUGUUAGCGGCGGACGGGUGAGUAACACGUGGAUAACCUACCUAUAAGACUGGGAUAACUUCGGGAAACCGGAGCUAAUACCGGAUAAUAUUUUGAACCGCAUGGUUCAAAAGUGAAAGACGGUCUUGCUGUCACUUAUAGAUGGAUCCGCGCUGCAUUAGCUAGUUGGUAAGGGAACGGCUUACCAAGGCAACGAUGCAUAGCCGACCUGAGAGGGUGAUCGGCCACACUGGAACUGAGACACGGUCCAGACUCCUACGGGAGGCAGCAGUAGGGAAUCUUCCGCAAUGGGCGAAAGCCUGACGGAGCAACGCCGCGUGAGUGAUGAAGGUCUUCGGAUCGUAAAACUCUGUUAUUAGGGAAGAACAUAUGUGUAAGUAACUGUGCACAUCUUGACGGUACCUAAUCAGAAAGCCACGGCUAACUACGUGCCAGCAGCCGCGGUAAUACGUAGGUGGCAAGCGUUAUCCGGAAUUAUUGGGCGUAAAGCGCGCGUAGGCGGUUUUUUAAGUCUGAUGUGAAAGCCCACGGCUCAACCGUGGAGGGUCAUUGGAAACUGGAAAACUUGAGUGCAGAAGAGGAAAGUGGAAUUCCAUGUGUAGCGGUGAAAUGCGCAGAGAUAUGGAGGAACACCAGUGGCGAAGGCGACUUUCUGGUCUGUAACUGACGCUGAUGUGCGAAAGCGUGGGGAUCAAACAGGAUUAGAUACCCUGGUAGUCCACGCCGUAAACGAUGAGUGCUAAGUGUUAGGGGGUUUCCGCCCCUUAGUGCUGCAGCUAACGCAUUAAGCACUCCGCCUGGGGAGUACGACCGCAAGGUUGAAACUCAAAGGAAUUGACGGGGACCCGCACAAGCGGUGGAGCAUGUGGUUUAAUUCGAAGCAACGCGAAGAACCUUACCAAAUCUUGACAUCCUUUGACAACUCUAGAGAUAGAGCCUUCCCCUUCGGGGGACAAAGUGACAGGUGGUGCAUGGUUGUCGUCAGCUCGUGUCGUGAGAUGUUGGGUUAAGUCCCGCAACGAGCGCAACCCUUAAGCUUAGUUGCCAUCAUUAAGUUGGGCACUCUAAGUUGACUGCCGGUGACAAACCGGAGGAAGGUGGGGAUGACGUCAAAUCAUCAUGCCCCUUAUGAUUUGGGCUACACACGUGCUACAAUGGACAAUACAAAGGGCAGCGAAACCGCGAGGUCAAGCAAAUCCCAUAAAGUUGUUCUCAGUUCGGAUUGUAGUCUGCAACUCGACUACAUGAAGCUGGAAUCGCUAGUAAUCGUAGAUCAGCAUGCUACGGUGAAUACGUUCCCGGGUCUUGUACACACCGCCCGUCACACCACGAGAGUUUGUAACACCCGAAGCCGGUGGAGUAACCUUUUAGGAGCUAGCCGUCGAAGGUGGGACAACUGAUUGGGGUGAAGUCGUAACAAGGUAGCCGUAUCGGAAGGUGCGGCUG
rnacentral:rRNA from 1 species